CCUGAAGGCGGUGAUGAGCGCGCUCCGGGGGAAGAAGCGAGGCCGAGUACACUUCCGGGACCAUGUCGGGCUGCGCUCUCCUGUGGCCCCGAGUCAUCUUGUUCGGAGACUCCAUCACUCAGCGUUCCUUUGAUCAAGGAGGGUGGGGUGCCGCAAUCGCAAACAGACUUGUUCGGAAGUGUGAUGUGCUGAACCGUGGUUUAUCAGGGUAUAACUCAAGAUGGGCCCUCAAUGUUUUGCCAAAGAUUAUUACUCAACCUGCUAAUCAUGAGACCAUUGCUGCUGUUGCAGUUUUUUUUGGAGCAAAUGACUCUGCUUUGAAAGAUGUGAACCCAGUGCAACAUAUUCCUCUCACUGAGUAUGCUGAAAAUCUGAAAUGUAUAAUCCAAUACCUGAAAUCUAUAGGCGUUUGUGAAGAAAAAGUGAUCAUGAUAACACCACCUCCACUGGAUGAGUCAGCUUGGGAAAAGGAGUGCAUUGCCAAGGGUAGUAUAUUGAACAGACAUAAUUCAGUAACCAACCAGUAUGCUGGGGUCUGUGUCAAAGUAGCAACAGAAUGUGGGACUGAUGUGCUUGAUCUCUGGACGUUGAUGCAAAUGGAGAACCAGGAAUUUUCCUCAUAUCUUUCGGAUGGAUUACAUUUAUCAGAGAAAGGAAAUGAGUUUCUGGAAACCCAUUUGUGGCCCCUGUUGGAAAAAAAAAUUAAAAGACUGCCAAUGAUCCUGCCUCACUGGAGUGACGUAGAUCACCUGAACCCCGAAGCCAGCCUACUGGUGUAAUUGAACCACACAGAGGGUUUCAACACAUUGAGCAUGUCUGGACUCAUGUUCCAUUGAACUUGGAAGCUACAGAACAUAGUUUACUAAGAGUGGCAGUAAACGCACACAACAUACCGGAUGGAUAUAUCAUUGAUACAACUGGUGCACUUGCAGAGCAACUUCAACUCAGCCUGGAGACCCUCUUGUUUCUGCCUCCAAUGAGUCGUCAGGCAACAGGACUCGAGCUCAAAUUGCCCCAACGACUACUCGUCUCCCAGGUGCUCAAAUCUCUUCUCCCAAGACUGCAUCACACUGAGUUUUCAAGGCUGCACCCCAGCAUCUAAACACACGAUCCCAGGUCUUUAGCUGCACUGAACAGAUGACCACUUCAGCUUCACCGAACUUACAACUGUUCCUCAGGAAUUUUUUGUGCCCCAGUUCCCGAGCUGCACUAAGCAGACAACCACUGCUCAUGGGCAUUCCGUGCCCCAACUUCAUGAAGUUGGCAACCAUUUCAGUUUCCCUCAGCCAAAAACUGCUCCUCACUGCUGCUUGAACUGAUGUGUCCUGUCAAAUCUUACAUCAGAACUUAGCCUCUGUUCUGAAGCAAGGUCUGAUGUAUCAAAACUUGUUACAUUCUGUAACUUAAAUGUUACAAUCUCCAGUCAACCAAUGCUCAUUCCCACAGGUACUAACUUACAUUGGCUCCACACUCUCAUACAAGUCCAGUUACAGGUCACUUCUUUUUCCAUCUCAACAUAUUUAUAACUCGGAUGUUCCUGGAUUAAGUUUAAUGUCAUCAAUCAUAGCAAAAAGUAUGGAUUAGCAUUCACCUACUGAAAGACAUUUCAAUUAACAAUGAGAAAAGCACAAUGAAGUUUAAAUUUCUCAUAUCUAACCAAGGAAAGUCCAGUGAUGGCUCCUGUAAGUCCUGUCAUAAAUUCCUGCUCCAGCCAAGAAAAUUGGGAGGACGAAAUUUGCAGAAAAAUUGUGGUAAACGGGCGAUCAAUUUAACCCAAAGCAGUGACCAACUCCAGAGCCAGUCGGAGAUGUUGGAAAUGGUUGGCACUUAGACAGAUGCUUCUUCAGUUUAAGUAAGAGAUUCCCACAAAUCAGUGGGCAUGUUGCAUUAAUUCAGGAAGGCUGCUGAAGACAUCCCUGAAACAUUUCCUCUGCCCUCCUGGUAACCGCUUGCUGUGACAAAGCUUGGAGUAGAGAGCUUUUUUUUUUGGAGUCUUGUGUCAGGCAUGCGGACAAUGUGGCACACCCAACCUAACCAGUGCCUCGAUACUGGGGCUGUUGGCCCAAGAGAGAACACUGACACUGGAGUGCCUAUCCUGCCAUUGAAUUUACAGGAUUUUGUGGAGGCAUCGCUGGUAAUAUUUCCCCGGGUAUAUACAAAGUCUGCUGUAUGUUGCCCAUGUCUCUGAUGCAUUCAGGAGUGAAGCUGGCACUGCAGUCCUUCAGACUAUGAGCUUGGUGCAGGGUUUGAGUUAUUUGUCACCAAACACUCUUUUGCUCAGAUGGCCAAAGGCUGCACUGGCAGACUGGAAGCAAUGUUGAAUUUGAUCAUCGAUGCCUGCCCUCACUUAGAUAAAGCUCCCAAGGUAUGAGAAAUGAUCCCAUUGUCCAAUGGUUCGCCAUGGAUCUUGGUAGUUGGAGGGCAGCGUUGAAUAGCGGGAGCAGGCUGAUAAAGGACCUUAGUCUUCUGGAUGUUUAGCCUAAGGUCCAUUCUUUCAUCUAUCUCCGUGAUAAUUUGGAGCUUAGCCUGUGUGCGUGCAUGCACAAGUGUCGUCAGCAAAGCAGUAACCAAUUCCAAAUUUUUUUUUAAAUAUAUAAAGCAAAUCAAAUGAGGUGAUGGAUCCAAGAAAAGCCUUCACUGCCCUUCUGCAUGGGUUUGAAAAUUGUAGAAUCCUAAAGCAAAACCUUGCUGAGGCCUUGGUUAAAAUCAGCUAACUCAACACAGACCAGUAACUAAACUUGGAAUGAUUUUAAUCUCUACCGUCGGAACUACACACAAAUUGUACUUACCCAAGAAGCCAUUUUGGAUGCAUGUCAAAGAUAUUGCAACUAAUCAGUUUAUUAUAGCUAUAAUAAUCUUCAUAGGGUAAGCAUUCUAAUAGUUUUUAAAUUCAACUUAAAACAUUGUUAUUUUACUCUUAAUCGAUUUAAUCCAUUACUACCUACUUUGUUAGAAAUCACAUGACUCAUAUACAAUGGUCUGCUGAUGCUUUUUUGACAUAGGGCAUCAACACAACAGUGUAACCACGCAGUGUGUUAAUAUAACAAUGUGCUCUACUUCAGGGCACUAAGCAGACAGACUUGCAAACAUAUCUCCAUUCUGAGAGUUUGACUAUACCUACAGUAAUUUAGGGGCUAACAGACAUCACUUCAGAUUUUCUUUUGACAGAAUUAAUAGUCACUGGCAUGUGAAAAAGUUACUCGACACAAUAUUAAGGUGGUUAGCAUUUAACUCAUCGAUAAGGUUUGUCAACUAUUCUUAGGUAAAUCUAGUAUGUAAUGCCAACAUGGCAUAACUCAUUCUAUAAUUUAGCUUUACUAAACACAACUGUACUUCACCUGAAGCCAACUAGUUUAAAAAGGUACACAAAGUUUGGAAACAAUUUUUGACAUCACAAAUUUAACUUAGUGGGAGGACAAAUUUGAGAUUUUUUUUUGAGGAUGGACAAAUCAAUGUGGAGGAACAUGAGCAGAAUGUGAUCUUACCAAAGGUGUUGAUAUCUAAUUUCUCAAUGAAAUCCCAGAAUCGUUCUAUGACAUCUUGUACUUGUUUUUCACAUUUGCCCUGUAGAUGCAAACAGAAAAGAAAAAGAAACUACAUUUCCACUAUUAGGUCAAUGCAAAAGCUUUUUUCAGGUACAUGUCAAUGUGAAAGUGACAGCAUUACUUUGCUUUUUUUUUGGACAGCAGUUGAUGGUUCUACUGUCGUCAUUUAUACCUUCUCUAGAUUUUAACUGGCGCAUUAUCAUCUCCCUUUGCCUUGCAUCAUCUGUCAUGUAAUUUCUCCUGCCUUCCCUUUUGUUAUUUCUUCUCCCCACUUCCCAUGUACUUGCUUAGAACCUGUUACAUUUCUUAACCUUUGUCAGAAAGGUAAUUAAUCUGAAACAUUAACUCUUUUGCUCUCCACAGAUCCUGCCUGACCUGAGCUUUUCCAGUAUUUUCUGUUUAGUCAGAUUCAGAUCUAACUCUUGAUAUAACUGACCAACUAGCUUGUGUUGGUGGCAACGGUUCAGGGCUGAAUGUUGGUCAGAACACUGGGAAGCUCUAAUCUUAUAUCUUAAUAAUGCUAUGUUAAUCUGGGAAGGGAAAAUGGAUUUAGAUAUGAAGUCUCAUCCAGAAGACAGUGCUUCCAAAAAUGCCACACUUUCUCUGGGCUAUUUCCAUUACAGCAGAGAAAGCUAAGAGAAUGACCCAUUUAUGACUACUCUAUUUCCUGUUAGCUAACCAACUCUCUAUACAUGCUAAUAUUUUACCCCCUACACUAUGAGCUCAUUUUGUAUCGUAACCUUUGAUGUGGAACCUUGUCAAAUGUUUUCUGAAAACCUGUAGAUCACAUCCAUAGGUUCCCCUUUAUCCAUGUUGCUUGUUAUUUCCUAAAAGAUCUCUAAUAAAUUAGUCAAACACGAUUUCUCUUUCACAAAACCACGUUGACACUGACUGAUUGCAUUGAGAUUUUCUAAAUGCCUGCUAUAACUUCCUUAAUAAUAGAUUCCAUCAUUUUCCCUGUGACAUUUAAGCUAACUGGCCUGUAGUUUCCUGCCGUGUGUUCCCUCCUAUCUUGAAUCGGCAACAUUUAGAAUUCUAAAAUAUUCUAAAUAGAUAAGCAGUAUAUUAUUUAAAUGGAGAGAGAUUGCAGAACUCGGAGGUACAGAGGGAUCUGGGCGUCCCGGUACAUAAAUCUCAGA